GGAAAUGGCAAAGCACUCUAGUAUCUUUGCCAAAUGAAGUCAUGAACAGUUGGACACAACUGAAAGAAAAAAUGACCUUGCUGACUGCAGACCUCAUGUUCUAACCACUAUAUCGUAGUGCCUCUCUGUACUGCAAACGUCACUACCCUACUCUACACGUGAGGCACCUGAAGAGAGCCAAACUAGUCUCAGAAAGCCCCAACUAUGCGCCUAAAAGCACUGUGCUAGAUGCUGGAAACAGACAAAUACAAAUACUCUGACCUCAAGAAACUUACAUUCUAUUUUGUGGACAAAACACAUAUACAAGACAUGACAUGGUGAGACCUGUGGCUUAGAAUGAUUGCCCUGGCAGCUGCCUGGAGGACUUGAUACAGCCUGGAGAGAGAAAGCCCAAUAAGGAAGCUACUUGUGGGAUCAUGCCCAGACCUCCUGCUACUGUGCAUUUCAUUCACUAGGCCUAGAAGACACUCACAUCUUUGCCUGGUGAAACUAUUACUUUCCUUUGAGGCCCAGCUCAGGUGCCAGGAUCUCCAGGAAACCUUCAAUGACUGCCCCAUGGGAAAUCUGAAUCUUGCAGACCUCUCUGUUUCAAGCUUCCACUUAAUAACCUAGCUUGUAAAACAGCUGUUUAUUUACAUUUUGGUUUUUAGCUCUGAGAGCAGGGAGUGUCAUCUUUGUUUCCAAAGCAGAGGAGAUGCAAUAGAGUCAGGAAGACCUAGGUUCAAAUUCUACUUCUGACAUAUACUGGAUUUGUGAUCCAGAGGCAGUCACAACUUUUUAGGGCCUUGAGCAGCUCUCUGGAAAUCUAAGUAGCAGAGAGUUCCAACCUGCAUUAGUAUAUGUAGUUUCUGUCCCCACCCUGACCAAAGCACAAGACCUGGACCUGGUGGGCACUUCAGCACAUGUUGAGAAAGGGACUUUUGUCCUGAUUCUUCUUUUGAAGCAUAACUAAUGUUUGGAAAUAUGCUUAAUAUGAUU